rnacentral:rRNA from 1 species
GACGAACGCUGGCGGCGUGCCUAAUACAUGCCAGUCGAGCGCAGGAAGUCGACGGAACCCUUCGGGGGGAAGUUGAUGGAAUGAGCGGCGGACGGGUGAGUAACACGUAAAGAACCUGCCCUCAGGUCUGGGAUAACCACGAGAAAUCGGGGCUAAUACCGGAUGGGUCAUCGGACCGCAUGGUCCGAGGAUGAAAGGCGCUUCGGCGUCGCCUGGGGAUGGCUUUGCGGUGCAUUAGCUAGUUGGUGGGGUAAUGGCCCACCAAGGCGACGAUGCAUAGCCGACCUGAGAGGGUGAUCGGCCACACUGGGACUGAGACACGGCCCAGACUCCUACGGGAGGCAGCAGUAGGGAAUCUUCCACAAUGGACGAAAGUCUGAUGGAGCAACGCCGCGUGAACGAUGAAGGCCUUCGGGUCGUAAAGUUCUGUUGUAAGGGAAGAACAAGUGCCGCAGGCAAUGGCGGCACCUUGACGGUACCUUGCGAGAAAGCCACGGCUAACUACGUG